UUCCGGUUGAUCCUGCCGGACCCCACUGCUAUCGGGGUGGGACUAAAACAUGCGAGUCGAGCGCCUUCAAGCUAUGGUGAAGGCGCGGCGAACGGCUCAGUAACACGUGGCUAACCUACCCUUUGGACGGGGACAACCCCGGGAAACUGGGCCUAAUCCCCGAUAGAUGAGAAGUCCUGGAAUGGUUUCUCAUCUAAAAGGUGUUUAGAGCAUGCUUCUAGGCGUCGCCAAAGGAUGGGGCCGCGGCCGAUCAGGUUGUUGGUGAGGUAGCGGCUCACCAAGCCUAUAACCGGUACGGGCCGUGAGAGCGGGAGCCCGGAGAUGGGCACUGAGAUAAGGGCCCAGGCCCUACGGGGCGCAGCAGUUGCGAAAACUCCGCAAUGCGCGAAAGCGUGACGGGGCUACCCCGAGUGCCGUCCGCUGAGGACGGCUUUUCCACGGUGUAAGGAGCCGUGGGAAUAAGGAGAGGGCAAGACUGGUGUCAGCCGCCGCGGUAAUACCAGCUCUCCGAGUGGUGGGGACGAUUAUUGGGCUUAAAGCGUUCGUAGCCGGUCCGGCAAGUCUUCCGUUAAAUCCAGCGAUCUAAUCGUUGGACUGCGGGAGAUACUGUUGGGCUAGGGGGCGGGAGAAGCCGACGGUAUUCUCGGGGUAGGGGUGAAAUCCUAUAAUCCCGGGAAGACCACCAGUGGCGAAGGCGGUCGGCUAGAACGCGCCCGACGGUGAGGGACGAAAGCUGGGGGAGCGAACCGGAUUAGAUACCCGGGUAGUCCCAGCUGUAAACGAUGCGGGCUAGGUGUUGGAGCGGUCACGAACCGCUUCAGUGCCGCACGGAAGCAAUUAAGCCCGCCGCCUGGGGAGUACGGCCGCAAGGCUGAAACUUAAAGGAAUUGGCGGGGGAGCACCACAAGGCGUGAAGCUUGCGGUUUAAUUGGAGUCAACGCCGGG
rnacentral:rRNA from 1 species